rnacentral:rRNA from 1 species
CCUACGGGAGGCAGCAGUAGGGAAUAUUGGACAAUGGGUGAGAGCCUGAUCCAGCCAUGCCGCGUGCAGGAAGAAGGCGUUAUGCGUUGUAAACUGCUUUUGCCAGGGGAUAAAACGGCUCUGCGGAGCUAAUUGAAGGUACCUGGUGAAUAAGCCACGGCUAACUACGUGCCAGCAGCCGCGGCAAUACGUAGGUGGCAAGCGUUGUCCGGAUUUAUUGGGUUUAAAGGGUGCGUAGGCGGCCCUGUAAGUCAGUGCUGAAAUAUCCCGGCUUAACCGGGAGGGUGGCAUUGAUACUGCAGGGCUUGAGUACAGAUGAGGUAGGCGGAAUUGACGGUGUAGCGGUGAAAUGCAUAGAUAUCGUCAAGAACACCGAUAGCGAAGGCAGCUUACCAAGCUGUAACUGACGCUGAGGCACGAAAGUGUGGGGAUCAAACAGGAUUAGAUACCCUGGUAGUCCACACUGUAAACGUUGAUGACUCGAUGUUGGCGAUACACGGCCAGCGUCCAAGAGCAAUCGUUAAGUCAUCCACCUGGGGAGUACGCCGGCAACGGUGAAACUCAAAGGAAUUGACGG